rnacentral:rRNA from 1 species
GUGGGGAAUUUUGCGCAAUGGGGGAAACCCUGACGCAGCAACGCCGCGUGAGUGAUGAAGGCCUUCGGGUCGUAAAGCUCUGUCAGAGGGGAAGAAGUGUGAGGUGGCUAAUAUCCAUUUCACUUGAUGGUACCUUCAAAGGAAGCACCGGCUAACUCCGUGCCAGCAGCCGCGGUAAUACGGAGGGUGCGAGCGUUGUUCGGAAUUAUUGGGCGUAAAGCGCGUGUAGGCGGUUUUUUAAGUCUGAUGUGAAAGCCCUGGGCUCAACCCGGGAAGUGCAUUGGAAACUGGGAGACUUGAAUACGGGAGAGGGCAGUGGAAUUCCUGGUGUAGGAGUGAAAUCCGUAGAUAUCAGGAGGAACACCGGUGGCGAAGGCGGCUGCCUGGACCGAUAUUGACGCUGAGACGCGAAAGCGUGGGGAGCAAACAGGAUUAGAUACCCCUGUAGUCC